GGAGAUUGUGAAGGACAGGGAAGCCUGGCGUGCUGCAGUCCAUGGGGUCUCAAAGAGUCAGACAUGACUGAGCAACUGAAUACCAACAACUCCAGCAGCAAAAUGAGGGUUAUAUUGGGAGUGGGUGGGGGGAGGCUGAGGGCUGAACUGCUGGGAGACCAGCGCAGUGGCAAGCCAGAGAGCUGGAGGCCUUCAUCAGGGCGACACUGGUGCAUGCCGAGGAGGCGAUGGGAGGCCUAGAGCAGGGCGGGUCAGAGGGCUCCUCCUUCAUGGGACCUGCCAGCCAGAGGAGUUUUCUCAGCCUCCCCUAAGUCCUCAGAGUACUGUGUGUCCCUUUCCCAGGGCCUGCUUUGGCCAUGUCCCCAUAACAGCUGUGUGCAUCUUAUCACAUCUUGUAUAUUUUAAGUUCUUAAAGGGCAGGAGGAAUUAUGCCUUAUUAGCCUUAGUAAUUUUUUUUUGCAUUGUGGGGCAUAGGGCUUUCAUAAAUUCCAAAAUUAUCUCUUUCAGAUCAUUUCUCCUUACGUAUGCAGUUUAGAAGUUUAUGGCGAGUUAAACACGUUUUCUUUAAAAAUGUGAAAAUUGUUUCUUUCCACGAUCUGCUUUAAAAUGCACGAGGAAAAGGAAAGAUUGGGAAGUUGUUUAAAAGCAGCAAACCCUUUAAGAGUCAAUGUCACAUUUAUUGCUAUAAAAUAUUUUUCUCUCUCUGUUAGACAUCUGGUUCCCAUUAUAUACAGUAUUGGGUACUUGAGUUCACCAGCCAUUUUGCAUACCAAACAGCGUGUCUGCGAAAUCCCAACUGACAUCCGCCAGUACGUAUGUGCAGCGUGCACUCUUGCUUUCCAUUUACAGACAACCCUUCUAUCACCAACCUCAUUCUUACCUAUAUGCUUUUCAGGUUAUUUCAUUCAUGCUUAACUCAAGGACCAAACUGCCUAUGUGUGAGAAGUGAAGAACUUCAAAACCAUGGAAUCUUUGCUUUCUAUUAAUAAUAUCAUAUGGUCCAACUAUCUCUAAUCUAGCUCUAAAGUCAAUGAAACAACUAAAUCUUAAGUCUAUAUUUCCUAAUAACAUUGACCCAGAAAUGAGAAACAAUAUGGAAUGUUUGCUAAUGAGUCAUGAAUUUCAUGAUAAUUGCUUCCACAUUCAGGAGAGCUCCCUUAAACCAUCUAAUCUUGACAUAUCCUGCAACAAUCCCAUGUGUUGUAAAUGAUUUUGUUUUAUUUCUAAGGUUACUGUUAAGGGCUUAUUUUAUGGUUCAUUUCAUUUUCUUAAAGAAAACCACACACAUGUACGUACACACACACACACACACACACACACACACACCCCAUAGGGGACUUUGUCUCAAUCUGUACUUUUUGAAAUAAAAUAAUUACAAAACCAAAAGGAGCCCUUGUCAUUUGGUUUGGAAAUAAAAAUAAAUACAGUUAGGAAGAAAGUGGAAAUAUGGUCAAUUUUAGAGUUCCAAUUCAGAUCUCAGAAUGAAAGCCAGGGUAGAGCAAUGCCCUAGGAAGUGGCCUCCUGUCUUCUCUGGACUUGAGAAUCUCUAACCGAUUGUAUGGAUACAACUAGCAUUCAGUCCAGUGAUAAUGGAGAAUUAAAUACGACUUUUAAAAACUGCUCACAUUAUAAAGUGAUCUAUUAGCAUUAUAUGACUUCAGCACUUAAAGUGACUGAUUCUAAUUGCACAAUUUGGCCCAUGGCAAGCAUUAAAGAGCUGUAGGAUCUUGCGGGUAUUUUAUCUCUUUGGGGAUAUUUUAAAGUGAAUUUUCUUUGGAAUAAAGCUUUGUUCCUGCCACACAAAAGAUUGUGUGGAAGAAAUCUCUCAGUUCUGAUAGAACCAGAGAUAAUUAUAGUUUCUUCUUUGAUUUGUGAAUCAGUAUGCCAAAUAUUAAAAACAUUCUUGCACUUUUUCCUCCCUUUCUUUUAUUAAGUGAAAUUCUGUCUCUACAGUGUGUGGCUGUUACCCUGAAGAAGAAAAGAUGGAUGCCCUUGUCUAAUGAGCUUUUCCAGCCAUCAGAGAGGCAUUCUCCUUCUGCACCUGGUUAUCAUACAUGGUCCUUCCACCUCUUUUCCGGGCAAGCUUGUGGGUUGCUAAGAUGAUGUCCCAGUUCCAUCCCUGGAGCUGAACUUGAUUUAAACAGGUUAUCACAAAACCACAGGGACUUCUGAGCAGGUUUGCUGCAGCGUUUGAGCAGCUGUCUUGCUCUCCUGAGAACAGUCACUGUUUCUUAGAACUGACUCAAAAGUCAGUCUUUGGUGUCAUACCUGCUGAGACAGAGCUCCUCCGUCAGCACUGGGGACCCUGCUGCUGGGUUCACACACCAGGCCCAUUAGGAUGGUUUUGCUGGUUGCAGCCACAGAGAACUAAUACUUACCCUGUAAAGACAUCCCUGCUCACUGUGACCUUCUCAAGCAAUCUUGAUUGGGACUGAUGCUGAAGCUAAAGCUCCAAUACAUUGGCCACC